GGUGAGUAACACGUGGGUGAUCUGCCCUGCACUUCGGGAUAAGCUUGGGAAACUGGGUCUAAUACCGGAUAGGAGCCAUCUUUAGUGUGGUGGUUGGAAAGUUUUUCGGUGUAGGAUGAGCUCGCGGCCUAUCAGCUUGUUGGUGGGGUAAUGGCCUACCAAGGCGGCGACGGGUAGCCGGCCUGAGAGGGUGUACGGCCACAUUGGGACUGAGAUACGGCCCAG
rnacentral:rRNA from 1 species